CAGGGAUGUUCUCUGUUUAGUGAGUCCACCAGAUCAGAGGCAGUAGGGAUGACCAGGGAUGUUCUCUGUUUGGUGAGUCCACCAGAUCAGAGGCAGUAGGGAUGACCAGGGAUGUUCUCUGUUUAGUGAGUCCACCAGAUCAGAGGCAGUAGGGAUGACCAGGGAUGUUCUCUGUUUAGUGAGUCCACCAGAUCAGAGGCAGUAGGGAUGACCAGGGAUGUUCUCUGUUUAGUGAGUCCUCCAGAUCAGAGACAGUAGGGAUGACCAGGGAUGUUCUCUGUUUAGUGAAUCCACCAGAUCAGAGGCAGUAGGGAUGACCAGGGAUGUUCUCUGUUUAGUGAGUCCACCAGAUCAGAGGCAGUAGGGAUGACCAGGGAUGUUCUCUGUUUAGUGAGUCCACCAGAUCAGAGGCAGUAGGGAUGACCAGGGAUGUUCUCUGUUUAGUGAGUCCACCAGAUCAGAGGCAGUAGGGAUGACCAGGGAUGUUCUCUGUUUAGUGAGUCCACCAGAUCAGAGGCAGUAGGGAUGACCAGGGAUGUUCUCUGUUUAGUGAGUCCACCAGAUUAGAGGCAGUAGGGAUGACCAGGGAUGUUCUCUGUUUAGUGAGUCUACCAGAUUAGAGGCAGUAGGGAUGACCAGGGAUGUUCUCUGUUUAGUGAGUCCACCAGAUCAGAGGCAGUAGGGAUGACCAGGGAUGUUCUCUGUUUAGUGAGUCCACCAGAUCAGAGGCAGUAGGGAUGACCAGGGAUGUUCUCUGUUUAGUGAGUCCACCAGAUCAGAGGCAGUAGGGAUGACCAGGGAUGUUCUCUGUUUAGUGAGUCCACCAGAUCAGAGGCAGUAGGGAUGACCAGGGAUGUUCUCUGUUUAGUGAGUCCACCAGAUCAGAGGCAGGAGGGAUGACCAGGGAUGUUCU
ensembl:lncRNA